rnacentral:rRNA from 1 species
UACGUAGGGGGCAAGCGUUGUCCGGAUUUAUUGGGCGUAAAGCGCUCGCAGGUGGCCCGACGCGCCGUGCGUGAAAGACCCCGGCUCAACUGGGGAGUGUCGUGCGAUACGGUCGGGCUGGAGGCCAGUAGGGGGAUGCGGAAUUCCGGGUGUAGUGGUGGAAUGCGUAGAGAUCCGGAGGAACACCAGCGGCGAAGGCGGCAUCCUGGACUGGUCCUGACACUCAGGAGCGAAAGCGUGGGGAGCGAACAGG